UACAGAGGUCUCGAGCGUUAGGCGGAAUCACUGGGCUUAAAGCGUGUGUAGGCGGAUCGGUAAGUACCUUGUGAAAUCCCACAGCUUAACUGUGGAACUGCUUGGUAUACUGCCAGUCUUGAGCCACUUAGGGGCUACCGGAACAAAUGGUGGAGCGGUGCAAUGCGUAGAUAUCAUUUGGAACGCCAAUGGUGAAAACAGGUAGCUGGGAGUGUGCUGACGCUGAGACACGAAAGCCAGGGGAGCAAACGGG
rnacentral:rRNA from 1 species